rnacentral:RNase_MRP_RNA from 1 species
CUCACCUCCGAUACCUUACCAUCGGGUCUACACUCUUGGCGCGGUAACCGAGCGGUUACCGAUUGUCCACAUCACGACCUGAGGAAAGUCCCCGGACCUCCGGCAGAGAGUGCAACCGGCUCAACGGCCGUUCGAUUCCGCCCCGCUCGUCCGAACACAUGACGGAUGUGAACGGUGCACGUUUCGGCGUGUCCGCGAUCCGUAGGCCGGCCGUGGGCGAUUUCGACUGGUCCUAGAUAUACAGUAUGUAAAGGGAGGGUUGUGCAAGCGACCCUUGACUUAAUGGGGCUUAUCAACGGAGGUGA